rnacentral:rRNA from 1 species
GAUGAACGCUGGCGGCGUGCCUAAUACAUGCAAGUCGAGCGAACGGACGAGAAGCUUGCUUCUCUGAUGUUAGCGGCGGACGGGUGAGUAACACGUGGAUAACCUACCUAUAAGACUGGGAUAACUUCGGGAAACCGGAGCUAAUACCGGAUGAUAUUUUGAACCGCAUGGUUCAAAAGUGAAAGACGGUCUUGCUGUCACUUAUAGAUGGAUCCGCGCUGCAUUAGCUAGUUGGUAAGGUAACGGCUUACCAAGGCAACGAUGCAUAGCCGACCUGAGAGGGUGAUCGGCCACACUGGAACUGAGACACGGUCCAGACUCCUACGGGAGGCAGCAGUAGGGAAUCUUCCGCAAUGGGCGAAAGCCUGACGGAGCAACGCCGCGUGAGUGAUGAAGGUCUUCGGAUCGUAAAACUCUGUUAUUAGGGAAGAACAUAUGUGUAAGUAACUGUGCACAUCUUGACGGUACCUAAUCAGAAAGCCACGGCUACCUACGUG